rnacentral:rRNA from 1 species
GUUGCGAACGGGUGAGUAACGCGUAGGUAACCUACCUGGUAGCGGGGGAUAACUAUUGGAAACGAUAGCUAAUACCGCAUAAGAGUAGAUGUUGCAUGACAUUUGCUUAAAAGGUGCAAUUGCAUCACUACCAGAUGGACCUGCGUUGUAUUAGCUAGUUGGUGGGGUAACGGCUCACCAAGGCGACGAUACAUAGCCGACCUGAGAGGGUGAUCGGCCACACUGGGACUGAGACACGGCCCAGCGGGUAGGGAAUCUUCGGCAAUGGACGGAAGUCUGACCGAGCAACGCCGCGCGAGUGAAGAAGGUUUUCGGAUCGUAAAGCUCUGUUGUAAGAGAAGAACGAGUGUGAGAGUGGAAAGUUCACACUGUGA